rnacentral:rRNA from 1 species
GGGGGUCAUCCCGACUUACCAACCCGAUGCAAACUGCGAAUACCGGAGAAUGUUAUCACGGGAGACACACGGCGGGUGCUAACGUCCGUCGUGAAGAGGGAAACAACCCAGACCGCCAGCUAAGGUCCCAAAGUCAUGGUUAAGUGGGAAACGAUGUGGGAAGGCCCAGACAGCCAGGAUGUUGGCUUAGAAGCAGCCAUCAUUUAAAGAAAGCGUAAUAGCUCACUGGUCGAGUCGGCCUGCGCGGAAGAUGUAACGGGGCUAAACCAUGCACCGAAGCUGCGGCAGCGACACUAUGUGUUGUUGGGUAGGGGAGCGUUCUGUAAGCCUGUGAAGGUGUACUGUGAGGUAUGCUGGAGGUAUCAGAAGUGCGAAUGCUGACAUAAGUAACGAUAAAGCGGGUGAAAAGCCCGCUCGCCGGAAGACCAAGGGUUCCUGUCCAACGUUAAUCGGGGCAGGGUGAGUCGACCCCUAAGGCGAGGCCGAAAGGCGUAGUCGAUGGGAAACAGGUUAAUAUUCCUGUACUUGGUGUUACUGCGAAGGGGGGACGGAGAAGGCUAUGUUGGCCGGGCGACGGUUGUCCCGGUUUAAGCGUGUAGGCUGGUUUUCCAGGCAAAUCCGGAAAAUCAAGGCUGAGGCGUGAUGACGAGGCACUACGGUGCUGAAGCGACAAAUGCCCUGCUUCCAGGAAAAGCCUCUAAGCAUCAGGUAACAUCAAAUCGUACCCCAAACCGACACAGGUGGUCAGGUAGAGAAUACCAAGGCGCUUGAGAGAACUCGGGUGAAGGAACUAGGCAAAAUGGUGCCGUAACUUCGGGAGAAGGCACGCUGAUAUGUAGGUGAAGCGACUUGCUCGUGGAGCUGAAAUCAGUCGAAGAUACCAGCUGGCUGCAACUGUUUAUUAAAAACACAGCACUGUGCAAACACGAAAGUGGACGUAUACGGUGUGACGCCUGCCCGGUGCCGGAAGGUUAAUUGAUGGGGUUAGCGGUAACGCGAAGCUCUUGAUCGAAGCCCCGGUAAACGGCGGCCGUAACUAUAACGGUCCUAAGGUAGCGAAAUUCCUUGUCGGGUAAGUUCCGACCUGCACGAAUGGCGUAAUGAUGGCCAGGCUGUCUCCACCCGAGACUCAGUGAAAUUGAACUCGCUGUGAAGAUGCAGUGUACCCGCGGCAAGACGGAAAGACCCCGUGAACCUUUACUAUAGCUUGACACUGAACAUUGAGCCUUGAUGUGUAGGAUAGGUGGGAGGCUUUGAAGUGUGGACGCCAGUCUGCAUGGAGCCGACCUUGAAAUACCACCCUUUAAUGUUUGAUGUUCUAACGUGGGCCCCUUACCGGGGUUGCGGACAGUGUCUGGUGGGUAGUUUGACUGGGGCGGUCUCCUCCUAAAGAGUAACGGAGGAGCACGAAGGUUGGCUAAUCCUGGUCGGACAUCAGGAGGUUAGUGCAAUGGCAUAAGCCAGCUUGACUGCGAGCGUGACGGCGCGAGCAGGUGCGAAAGCAGGUCAUAGUGAUCCGGUGGUUCUGAAUGGAAGGGCCAUCGCUCAACGGAUAAAAGGUACUCCGGGGAUAACAGGCUGAUACCGCCCAAGAGUUCAUAUCGACGGCGGUGUUUGGCACCUCGAUGUCGGCUCAUCACAUCCUGGGGCUGAAGUAGGUCCCAAGGGUAUGGCUGUUCGCCAUUUAAAGUGGUACGCGAGCUGGGUUUAGAACGUCGUGAGACAGUUCGGUCCCUAUCUGCCGUGGGCGCUGGAGAACUGAGGGGGGCUGCUCCUAGUACGAGAGGACCGGAGUGGACGCAUCACUGGUGUUCGGGUUGUCAUGCCAAUGGCACUGCCCGGUAGCUAAAUGCGGAAGAGAUAAGUGCUGAAAGCAUCUAAGCACGAAACUUGCCCCGAGAUGAGUUCUCCCUGACUCCUUGAGAGUCCUGAAGGAACGUUGAAGACGACGACGUUGAUAGGCCGGGUGUGUAAGCGCAGCGAUGCGUUGAGCUAACCGGUACUAAUGAACCGUGAGGCUUAACCUU